rnacentral:rRNA from 1 species
CCCUUAGAUGUCCUGGGCCGCACGCGCGCUACACUGAGCGGAUCAGCGCGUUUUCCCUUCCCGAGAGGGACGGGUAACCUGCUGAACCCCGUUCGUGGUAGGGAUCGGGGCUUGCAAUUAUUCCCCGUGAACCAGGAAUGCCCAGUAAGUGCAAGUCAUAAGCUUGCGUUGAUUACGUCCCUGCCCUUUGUACACACCGCCCGUCGCUACUACCGAUUGAACGUUUUAGUGAGGUACUCGGACUGAGCCUCAGAAGAUUCACGUCUUUUGUGCUGCUCGGGAAGAUUCCCAAACUUGAGCGUUUAGAGGAAGUAAAAGUCGUAACA